rnacentral:rRNA from 1 species
CAAUAGCGUAUAUUAAAGUUGUUGCAGUUAAAGAGCUCGUAGUUGGAUUUCUGAUCGAGACAUCAGGUCGGGUCCGAGAGGAUCAUGUACUUUGAUUUUGUUUUGAUCAUCCUUGGGGAGAGCAUUUCUGGCAUUCAGUUGUCGGGAUUGGGAUCCUCAUCGUUUACUGUGAAAAAAUUAGAGUGUUCAAAGCAGGCCUCGGCCUCUGAAUACAUUAGCAUGGAAUAAUAAGAUAGGACUUUGGUGGUCUAUUUUGUUGGUUUGCACGCCAAAGUAAUGAUUAAUAGGGAUAGUUGGGGGUAUUCGUAUUCAAUUGUCAGAGGUGAAAUUCUUGGAUUUAUGGAAGACGAACUACUGCGAAAGCAUUUACCAAGGAUGUUUUCAUUAA